AAAGAAAAAACAAACAAAAA
rnacentral:sRNA from 1 species